GUAGGUAGAGCUCAGUGGUAGAGUGUGUGCUUAGCGUGCAUGAGGCCCUGGGUUCAAUCCCCAGUCCCCCCA
rnacentral:tRNA from 1 species